CCUACGGGAGGCAGCAGUGGGGAAUAUUGGACAAUGGGCGAAAGCCUGAUCCAGCCAUGCCGCGUGUGUGAAGAAGGCCUUCGGGUUGUAAAGCACUUUCAGUGGGGAAGAAAGCCUUGGGGCUAAUACCCUCGAGGAAGGACAUCACCCACAGAAGAAGCACCGGCUAACUCCGUGCCAGCAGCCGCGGUAAUACGGAGGGUGCGAGCGUUAAUCGGAAUUACUGGGCGUAAAGCGCGCGUAGACGGUCUGAUAAGCCGGUUGGGAAAGCCCCGGGCUCAACCUGGGAACGGCAUCCGGAACUGUCAGGCUAGAGUGCAGGAGAGGAAGGUAGAAUUCCCGGUGUAGCGGUGAAAUGCGUAGAGAUCGGGAGGAAUACCAGUGGCGAAGGCGGCCUUCUGGACUGACACUGACGCUGAGGUGCGAAAGCGUGGGUAGCAAACAGGAUUAGAUACCCCUGUAGUC
rnacentral:rRNA from 1 species